AGAACGAACGCUGGCGGCAUGCCUAAUACAUGCAAGUCGAACGAAGGCUUCGGCCUUAGUGGCGCACGGGUGCGUAACGCGUGGGAAUCUGCCCCUUGGUUCGGAAUAACAGUUGGAAACGACUGCUAAUACCGGAUGAUGACGAAAGUCCAAAGAUUUAUCGCCAAGGGAUGAGCCCGCGUAGGAUUAGCUAGUUGGUGAGGUAAAGGCUCACCAAGGCGACGAUCCUUAGCUGGUCUGAGAGGAUGAUCAGCCACACUGGGACUGAGACACGGCCCAGACUCCUACGGGAGGCAGCAGUGGGGAAUAUUGGACAAU
rnacentral:rRNA from 1 species